rnacentral:rRNA from 1 species
CUACGGGAGGCACCAGUGGGGAAUAUUGCACAAUGGAGGAAACUCUGAUGCAGCAACGCCGCGUGGAGGAUGACACUUUUCGGAGCGUAAACUCCUUUUAUAUAGGAAGAAGAUGACGGUACUAUAUGAAUAAGCGCCGGCUAACUCCGUGCCAGCAGCCGCGGUAAUACGGAGGGCGCAAGCGUUACUCGGAAUCACUGGGCGUAAAGAGCGUGUAGGCGGAUUAAAAAGUCAGAAGUGAAAUCCUAUAGCUUAACUAUAGAACUGCUUCUGAAACUCUUAAUCUAGAAUAUGGGAGAGGUAGAUGGAAUUUCUGGUGUAGGGGUGAAAUCCGUAGAGAUCAGAAGGAAUACCUAUUGCGAAGGCGAUCUACUAGAACAUUAUUGACGCUGAGACGCGAAAGCGUGGGGAGCAAACAGGAUUAGAUACCCUGGUAGUC